GUGAUUUGGGUUUUUUGUUGAUGUUGAGGCUUCAAGUUUUGAUUUUGACAAUAAUGUUGCUUACUUUGUGAAGCAAUGUCUACAGUGGAGCCUAACAAGUUCCCCUCGCUAUCCAGGGCAGCAAUUUUGUGUUGCACUUGGACGUCGGGGAACUACAUUU